rnacentral:rRNA from 1 species
UAUUAAAAGAUUAGUGUCUGCUUGCAGAACUUGCAUACAGGUGCUGCACGGCUGUCGUCAGCUCGUGUCGUGAGAUGUUGGGUUAAGUCCCGCAACGAGCGCAACCCUCGUCCUUAGUUGCUAACAGUUCGGCUGAGAACUCUAAGGAGACUGCCUACGCAAGUAGGAGGAAGGUGAGGAUGACGUCAAGUCAUCAUGGCCCUUACGUCCAGGGCUACACACGUGCUACAAUGGGGUAUACAAAGAGCAGCAAUACGGUGACGUGGAGCAAAUCUCAAAAAUGCCUCCCAGUUCGGAUUGUAGUCUGCAACUCGACUACAUGAAGUUGGAAUCGCUAGUAAUCGUAGAUCAGCUAUGCUACGGUGAAUACGA